rnacentral:rRNA from 1 species
AUGGGUGCUACUACCACGAACAAGAAGCCCCACGCUGUGUUCGUGCCGUUCCCGGCUCAGGGGCACAUCACGCCGAUGAUGAAGUUGGCAAAGAUCUUCCACUGCAAGGGCUUCCACGUCACCUUCGUCAACACCGAGUAUAACCACCGCCGCCUCGUCCGUUCCCGCGGUCCUGAUGCCGUGGCCGGCCUUCCGGACUUCCACUUCGCCACCAUUCCUGACGGCCUGCCCCAGUCCGAGGCCGACGCCACGCAGGACAUACCAUCCCUCUGCCAUUCCAUCAUGACCACCUGCCUCCUCCCCCACCUAAAGAACCUACUCCGCGACCUCAACAGCGCAGCUGGGGUGCCUCAAGUGACGUGUGUCAUGGCAGAUGCUGUCAUGAGCUUUUGUUUGGACGCUGCGGCAGAGCUCAGUGUGCCUUGCACGCUGUUCUGGACUGCCAGCGCCUGCGGUUUCAUGGGCUACCGUAACUUCCGGUUCCUCCUAGACGAGGGCAUUGCCCCUCUCAAAGACGAAGAGCAAGUGAAGAACGGCUACUUGGACACGCCGGUGACACCGGCACAGGGGAUGAGCAAGCACAUGCGCCUCCGAGACUUCCCUUCCUUCGUCCGCACGACGGACCGUGACGACGUGAUGUUCAACUUCCUGAUGCACGAGGUCGAGCAGUCGGGCCGUGCGGCCGCCAUCAUCCUCAACACUUUUGACGAGCUCGAUCAGGUGGCGCUGGACGCCAUGUGCGCCAUCCUCCCCCUCCCCGUCUACACCAUCGGCCCGCUUAACUUCCUUGCCAAGCAGGUGAUUCCUGACGGCGGCAAUGGCAGCGCCCAGCUCGCCGCUAUACGCCCCAGCCUUUGGAGAGAAGACCACUCCUGUCUUGAGUGGCUCCGGGGCAGGGAGCCUGGGUCCGUCGUGUAUGUCAAUUUCGGGAGCAUAACCACCAUGUCCAUCCAAGAGCUGGUAGAGUUCGCCUGGGGGCUGGCCAACUGCGGCUACGACUUUUUGUGGAUCGUGAGGAAUGACCUAGUGAAGGGUGAUGCCGCUGUGGUACCUCCGGAGUUCCUGGAGGCGACCAAGGGUAGGUGCCUCCUAGCGAGCUGGUGUGAACAAGAGGCGGUGCUGCAGCAUGAGGCAGUGGGUGCCUUCUUGACGCACUGUGGGUGGAACUCGAUGAUGGAGGGCCUUAGUGCCGGGGUGCCAAUGUUGUGUUGGCCCUUCUUCGCCGAGCAGCAAACCAACUCCCAUUACGCGUGUGUGGAGUGGGGCGUUGGGAUGGAAGUUGGUGAUGAUUUGCGCCGAGAGGUGGUCGAGGCGAGGAUACGGGAGGUGAUGGGAGGAGAAGGGGUGGGGAGAGAAAUGAGGCGGAAGGCGGCGGAGUGGAGCGAGAUAGCCGUUCGUGCGACGACACAACCUGGUGGCAGGUCGUUGGCCAACCUUGAGAGUAUGUUCAAGGAUGUACUACAGACCGCCCCUAAGAGUGCUGGGUAG